rnacentral:rRNA from 1 species
GCGCACGCUGGCGGCGUGCUUAACCCAUGCAAGUCGAACGGGCCUUGUCCCCUUUUUUUUUGGGGGUGGGGUUAGUGGCGAACGGGUGAGUAACACGUGAGUAACCUGCCCCUCACUUCUGGAUAACCGCUUGAAAGGGUGGCUAAUACGGGGUGUUCUGGCCUGCUCGCAUGGGUGGGUUUGGAAAGAUUCGACCGGUUUUGGUUGUUUUGGUGGGGGAUGGGCUCGCGGCCUAUCAGCUUGUUGGUGGGGUGAUGGCCUGCCAAGGCUUUGACGGGUAGCCGGCCUGAGAGGGUGGGCGGUCACACUGGGACUGAGACACGGCCCAGACUCCUACGGGAGGCAGCAGUGGGGAAUAUUGCACAAGGGGCGCAAGCCUGAUGCAGCGACGCCGCGUGAGGGAUGGAGGCCUUCGGGUUGUGAACCUCUUUCGCCAGUGAAGAAGGUCCUGCUCUUUGUGGUGGGGUUGACGGUAGCUGGGUUAAUGAAGCGCCGGCUAACUACGUG